rnacentral:miRNA from 1 species
UUUAUACGUCGAAUUUUGGUCGCGUCGAAUGCAAUUCAAACAAUAGGUAAUGAGAUGAUAAACCUCAUUAAGCUUCAUUAUCUAUUGUUUGAAUUGCAUUCGACCCGACCAAAAUUCGACGUAUAAA